rnacentral:tRNA from 1 species
AAGGCUUUAGCUUAUUUAAAGUGGCUGGGUUGCAUUCAGUUGAUGUGUGCUAGUUGCACACAAGUCUUG